rnacentral:rRNA from 1 species
CAGGGAUUGCCUCAGUAACGGCGAAGUGAAGCGGCAAGAAGCUCAAAUUUGAAAGCUGGCCCCUUCGGGGUCCGCAUUGUAAUUUGCAGAGGAUGCUUCGGGUGCAGCCCCCGUCUAAGUGCCCUGGAACGGGCCGUCAUAGAGGGUGAGAAUCCCGUCUGGGACGGGGUGUCUGCGUCCGUGUGAAGCUCCUUCGACGAGUCGAGUUGUUUGGGAAUGCAGCUCUAAAUGGGUGGUAAAUUUCAUCUAAAGCUAAAUACUGGCCGGAGACCGAUAGCGCACAAGUAGAGUGAUCGAAAGAUGAAAAGCACUUUGAAAAGAGAGUUAAACAGCACGUGAAAUUGUUGAAAGGGAAGCGUUUGCGACCAGACUCGCCCGCGGGGUUCAGCCGGCAUUCGUGCCGGUGUACUUCCCCGUGGGCGGGCCAGCGUCGGUUUGGGCGGCCGGUCAAAGGCCCUCGGAAUGUAUCACCUCUCGGGGUGUCUUAUAGCCGAGGGUGCAAUGCGGCCUGCCCGGACCGAGGAACGCGCUUCGGCUCGGACGCUGGCGUAAUGGUCGUAAAUGACCCGUCUUGAAACACGGACCAAGGAGUCUAACAUCUACGCGAGUGUUCGGGUGUCAAACCCGUACGCGCAGUGAAAGCGAACGGAGGUGGGAGCCCCCUCGUGGGGCGCACCAUCGACCGAUCCUGAUGUCUUCGGAUGGAUUUGAGUACGAGCGUAGCUGUGGGGACCCGAAAGAUGGUGAACUAUGCCUGAAUAGGGCGAAGCCAGAGGAAACUCUGGUGGAGGCUCGCAGCGGUUCUGACGUGCAAAUCGAUCGUCAAAUUUGGGUAUAGGGGCGAAAGACUAAUCGAACCAUCUAGUA